rnacentral:ribozyme from 1 species
UUUUUUUUUUUUUUUUUUUUUUUUUUUUUUUUUUUUUUUUUUUUUUUUUUUUUUGUUUAAUGCACCUUUAA